CAGUCGCCGCGGUAAUACAGAGGGUGCAAGCGUUAAUCGGAAUUACUGGGCGUAAAGCGCGCGUAGGUGGUUUGUUAAGUUGGAUGUGAAAUCCCCGGGCUCAACCUGGGAACUGCAUUCAAAACUGACUGACUAGAGUAUGGUAGAGGGUGGUGGAAUUUCCUGUGUAGCGGUGAAAUGCGUAGAUAUAGGAAGGAACACCAGUGGCGAAGGCGACCACCUGGACUAAUACUGACACUGAGGUGCGAAAGCGUGGGGAGCAAACAGGAUUAGAUACCCGUGUAGUCCCUGUCUCUUAUAC
rnacentral:rRNA from 1 species